AGACCAUGAUGAAGGCAAUAACUAAGCAUGUCCUUGUAUCUUUACCAAGCCUCUCACAACGAAUCAGAAUCUAGCCAUGUGAAUGAUGUGAUAUCAUUCCUCAUUUU
rnacentral:snoRNA from 1 species